UACGUAGGGGGCAAGCGUUGUCCGGAUUUAUUGGGCGUAAAGCGCACGUAGGCGGAUUGCUAAGUCAGGGGUGAAAUCCUGGAGCUCAACUCCAGAACUGCCUUUGAUACUGGCGAUCUUGAGUCCGGGAGAGGUGAGUGGAACUGCGAGUGUAGAGGUGAAAUUCGUAGAUAUUCGCAAGAACACCAGUAGCGAAGGCGGCUCACUGGCCCGGUACUGACGCUGAGGUGCGAAAGCGUGGGGAGCAAACAGG
rnacentral:rRNA from 1 species